ACCAGCCAUCCCGCGGUGCAGGGAUGACGGCCCUAUGGGUUUGUAAACUGCUUUUCUACGCCAAGAAACGGCUCUACGUGUAGGGCACUGACGGUAGCGUAGGAAUAAGCAUCGGCUAACUCCGUGCCAGCAGCCGCGGUAAUACGGAGGAUGCAAGCGUUAUCCGGAUUCAUUGGGUUUAAAGGGUGCGCAGGCGGGGAAGUAAGUCAGUGGUGAAAAACUGCCGCUCAACGGUAGUCGUGCCAUUGAUACUGCUUUUCUUGAGUUUGGAUGAGGUAGGCGGAAUGUGCAGUGUAGCGGUGAAAUGCAUAGAUAUUGCACAGAACACCGAUUGCGAAGGCAGCUUACUAAUCCACGACUGACGCUGAGGCACGAAAGCGUGGGGAGCGAACAGGAUUAGAUACCCCGGUAGUCCACGCCGUAAACGAUGUUCACUCGCUGUUUGCGAUACACAGUAAGCGGCUUAGCGAAAGCAUUAAGUGAACCACCUGGGGAGUACGAUCGCAAGGUUGAAACUCAAAGGAAUGGACGGA
rnacentral:rRNA from 1 species